AUGCUGCCCCCAUCGCUUGAGUCAUUCACCUUCUCGCGUGAUUCUUAUACUCAUGACUAUGCCGGGAUAUCUAGAAUUUCCUUCCGGGGUUGUUCUCAGUUGGAGAGUAUACUAUUGCAAGGAGAUCUAGAGAAACUCGAGGAGUUGGACCUCUCAGGCACAGCAGUGAAAGCCCUCGACCUCAGAGAGUUGGAAAUUAACAAUAUCAAAUUCCUCAUCUUGUUGGGCUGUGAGAAGCUUUAUGCAAUAUUAUGGCCACCAGAAAACAAAAGGACAAAGGUUUUACAGGUACUGCACAUCGACACCACACGAUCUACAUCACCUGGCCAAGCUAAUUUUUUUUCGAUCGAAGGGGCCACACGACCCCAUUUUCAUUAUGAAAAUGGAGUUGUUUACAAGGCAUCAAACCACCAUUACAUCACUGAUCUAGAAGCCACAUCAGGAUGCUCCAGCCUAUCCAGCCAAAUCAUCACACCACUGAUAUAUAUCACCACAUCAGGAUGCUUCAAACAGUCCAAAACUAGCCAUGGAAGGGCCUAG
rnacentral:rRNA from 1 species